ensembl:lncRNA
UGCUGUUAAUAAACACAAAUUGCAAACAAGAAGGUAGUAAGUGGAAAUAAUGCUCUCAUUUAAGAGUAAUAAAGCCUUUGAUCUUACUUUGAAGGAACGAGUCUAUGUUUAAACUCCCCAUUCAGGGACAGCCAGAUGCCCAUAAAGAGCAGCGCUUUGCUUUGAUACAAAAUCACUGAGGCCUGUCUAGCAGGUCUGGUUUGUAAACAGAUUAGUUAAGGGCUCAUCAGGGCUGAUUUGCAUAGGAUUCUGAGAGCUCCAGUCACUUUUUCAACCUUAAUGAGCAAUGCCGUUUCCAGGUUGGACAUGACACCAUUUUUUUUUUUUUUUCCUGGCUAAAAUCUUAGAUAAUGACUUCGUGGAAUAGGGAAAGCCUAUUCAUAGGAAGCGAGCCCUUGCUGUCCUCAGCUCAUGGGCAAAUGAUGACCUAAGACUUGUUUCGCGUGGUCUGAAUGGUGAAGGAUGUGAUGAGGGACAUGGGUUAUGAGUUGAAAAUUACGUUGCAAAAAUGUUUUCCUCCCUUUCCAUGUGGUUUGAGAGAUAAAGGGGGAUGCAUCUGAAUUAUCGCAGAAGUAACACGGGACUGGGAGCUCAGACCACAAAUUUAGCUAUGAAUGUUUCUGGAGGACCUCCUUGGAGCCGGGCUGCGUUCUAUGGGCCGGGCCUCCCUUGGUGCUCAAGGCAGACAGAGGCCCUGCCCUCAGGGAGCCUCCCUUCCAGAACCUACCAUUAUGGAGACAUGGGAACAGUGGAGGAAAGGAAUGGGGCUGGUUUAGGUACAUGUUCUAAAAUUUCUACUAGCGAGCAGCCCUCUGCUUGAGAGACGGCAAGACCAGUGUUUGCGGAGAGAAGAGACCCUCUGAGCAGUCUAACUGCACUUUUACUUUCCAUGUUCAGAACAGUUGGUGAUCGGCCCACUAUCAGUAAUCAAGAACAUCCCCUCCUUAAAUCUUGGAGUGAACAAAUUGUCAGAAGAAAACCUCUGCCUACUCUGAUCCCUGAGUAGAUACCAAAUGGGCAGCUCAGUAGAGACAAAGGAGUUCCUACUGUGGCAUAGCAGAAACGAAUCCGACUAGUAUCCAUGAGGAUGCAGGUUCGACCCCUGGCCUCACUCAGUGGGUCAGGGAUCCGGUAUUGCAGUGAGCUGUGGUGUAGGUCACAGACGCAACUUGGAUCCCAAGUUGCUGUGGCUGUGGUGUAGGUUGGCAGCUGUAGCUCUGAUUCCACCCGUAGCCUGGGAACUUUCAUAUGCCUCAGGUGUGGCCCUAAAAAGCAAAGCAAAGCAAACAAACAAUUCCUAAAGAAAAUGAAAUGAUACCAGCAGUUUUCAAAGUGCAGUGAAUUGAUGGCGGGCAGUGGUCUCUUUUUUGGCUUUGCAGCUGCAUCGUUCUGCUUAUGAAAGAUGCCUUUGAGUAUUGGAAACACCAGUGACACUGACAUGGUCAUUUGGGAACUUGGGUUUAAAUAAUAACCUUCAGCUUUUGUAUCCGUCCUUGUCAAGUCCAAGGACCUCAGCCUUACCCUGCUUCCUAGAAGCCAGAUCAAAUCAGCACUCUCCCAUAAAUGUCACCUUGGAGACAUUCCACUC